rnacentral:lncRNA from 1 species
CCAUCUCGAGCCCAAUCCACCUCCACCUGGAGCUUUACCUCGCUUUGGACUCUUCUUAGCUCUUAAAGCUCCACCUCAUAUUGGGCUCCCCAUCAGGUAGUAAUAUCCUCUCAUCCUCUUUUUUUUCUCCAGAAUAAUAUUAUCAUUGCCCAAUACCAUUAGGAUUCCUCCACCAGCUACUGUUCUAUAGUCUCUCGAAUCU